UGUUUGUUUUGUUAGCAGCUUUUCAGUCUGUUGGAAAAGCUGGAUAAGGGUCCUGGGAGAGAAAGAGGGGGCAAGUUCCAGCCAUUGGGCCCAAUUCGGGUCUUUGGCCUCACAGAGGGCUAAUCAGGGCUUCCAGCUGUGUAAGAGUAUUAUAGGGCUGCUAGCCUGAUCAGUGUGUGCAGACUGCCUGAGGAGAAACUGCAGAAUCUCUGUGAGGAAAACCUGCGGCCUUAUACAAUCUACAACGUUCUACAGUGGAAAAGGAAACUGAACAAAACAGAACAAACGGUCAGAGCAAUGACGUCCAUUAUCGUGGAGCACCUGCGUGAGGCAGAUAGUGAGCUGAAUUCCCAGGAAGAUGCACGUAUUGAGAGAUAUCUUGCUUCCGAAAAGGAAAUGCAUCAAUCAUUUAUGACGCAGUUAAUGGGCAUGAAUGAUAGGCAGAUGUCAUUUUUUGAGCGCAUGUUUGCACGUACUCUAGGGAAUACCACACAAGCACAACAGCAAGUCACAGCUUACCCACAGCACUCAUAUGGUCCAUACAACUAUGAGUCUCCCACAAGUCCCGCAAUCUUCAGAAUAUCGGGUGUAUAGACAAUUGCCUUAAAUAAGGCCAGCUGUUGAUAAAACAAUGUUUAUGUGUUAAGGUUCUGUUUGCCUUUUUAUAUGUUAUAAUGGGCCUAAUUCUGAGUUGAUCGCAGGAGCAAAUUUGUUAGCAGUUGGGCAAAACCAUGGGGGUGAUUCCGAGUUGUUCGCUCGCUAGCUGCUUUUAGCAGCAUUGCAUACGCUAAGCCGCCGCCCUCUGGGAGUGUAUCUUAGCUUAGCAGAAUUGCGAACGAAAGAUUAGCAGAAUUGCAAAUAGAAAUUUCUUAGCAGUUUCUGAGUAGCUCAAGACUUACUCCUACACUGCGAUCAGCUCAGGCCGUUUCGUUCCUGGUUUGAUGUCACACACACGCCCAGCGUUCGGCCAGCCACUCCCCCGUUUCUCCAAACACUCCCGCGUUUUUCCCUGACACGCCUGCGUUUUUCCGCACACUCCCAGAAAACGGCCAGUUUCCGCCCAGAAACACCCCUUUCCUGUCAAUCACACUCCGAUCACUUCACCGAUGAAAAAUCUUAAUUCGGACGUGAGUAAAUCUACUAAGUUUUGUGCUAAAAUACUAACCGCAUGCGCACUGCGUACCAUGCGCAUUUUUGCCUUAAUCGCUCCGUUGUGAAAAUCGGCAACGAGCGAACAACUCGGAAUGACCCCCCAUGUGCACUGCAGAGGGGACAGAUAUAACGUGCAGAGAGAGUUAGAUUUGGGGGGGGGGGGGGGGGGUGUAUUCAAACUGAAAUCUAAAUUGCAGUGUAAGAAUAAAGCAGCCAGUAUUUACCCUGCACAGAAACGAAAUAACCCACCCAAAUCUAACUCUCUCUCUGCAAAUGUUAUAUCUGCCCCCCUGCAGUGUACAUGGUUUUGCCCAACUGCUAACAAACUUGCUGCUGGGAUCAACUCCGCAUUACCCCCAUUGUUACCUCAAAGAUGUGCGGCAGUGGGAUCCAAAUAUUGUGAUUACCUUGAUACCUACAAAGCCAAACGUUAGGGGAUUUUUACAGUGUGUUCUGUUUGUACUUUACUCUUUUAUAUUGUUACCUCAGAAAGAUGUACGGCAGUGGGAUACAAAUAUUGGGGUUACCCUGAUACCUAGAAAGCCAAACGUUAGGGGAUUUUUACAGAGUGUUCUGUUUGCACUUUACUCUUUUAUAUUGUUGCCUCAAGGAUGUGUGGCAGUGGGAUCCAAAUAUUGGGGUUACCCUGAUACCUGCCAAACAUUAGGGCAGGUGUCUACAACAUGUGGCCCUCUAGCUGUUGUUGAAAUACAUAGCAAGGCAUGCUGGGACAUGUAGUUCCACAACAGCUGGAGGGCCUGCGUUAUGGGGAUUUUUACAGAGUGUUCUGUUUGCACUUCAAUAUUUUAUAUUGCUACCUCAGAAAAUGUGUGCCAACUGUUUAAAAUCAAAAAUAUACAACCAGUAACGUUUGAAUAAUUUUUAUA